CCGAGUUAUACAACUCAUCAACCCUGUGAACAUACCUAAAACGUUGCUUCGGCGGGAACAGACGGCCCUGUAACAACGGGCCGCCCCCGCCAGAGGACCCCUAACUCUGUUUUUAUAAUGUUUUUCUGAGUAAACAAGCAGAUAAAUUA
rnacentral:misc_RNA from 1 species